rnacentral:lncRNA from 1 species
ACCUGUAUAUGCGAAGUACCCCAUACAUGGUCAAAUUCUUCUGUUAUUCCAUUCUUUAUUAUUAUGUUGGAAUAACCUAUCUAUGUGAAGUACCGCAUACAUGGUGAAAUUCUUUUGUUAUUCCAUUCUCUAUUAUUCUGUUGGAAUAUCCUGUCUGUGCGUUUACGCAUGACCUGGUUCCAUUAUUUAUUAUUCUGUUGGAAUAUUCUGUCUGUGCGUUUAUGCAUGACCUAGUUCCAUUAUUUAUUAUUCUGUUGGAAUAACCUGUCU